UGCCCACCCUCCUUGCUUCCUCAGGCCUACCCAGUGCCAUGUUCUUAGCCCUGUUGUACUACACUCCUCUUUGUGAAUUCCUUAUUCUCUGACCACAUUUUUGCAAAUAUUUUCUUCGUUAAAGUCAUUACAAAUUAUGCCAAGCUGAAUGUGGCAUCACUUUCCUGCUGGGAUCCUAAGUGGCUGGGAAUACAAACCCCUGGGUGGCUGCAG
rnacentral:lncRNA from 1 species